rnacentral:rRNA from 1 species
UCAGACGAUGCGUCAUGCAUAUCAAUAAGCGGAGGAAAAGAAACUAACAAGGAUUCCCCUAGUAACGGCGAGUGAAGCGGGAAGAGCUCAAAUUUGAAAUCUUAAAGGGUUUCCCUUUACGAAUUGUAGUUUAAAGAAGUGUUUUCUGUUGAGGUUUUGGUAAAAGUUCUUUGGAAUAGGACAUCAUAGAGGGUGAGAAUCCCGUAUUUGACCUUUACUUUCAACUUUGUGAUACACUUUCAAAGAGUCGGAUUGUUUGGGAAUGCAGUCCAAAAUGGGUGGUAAAUUUCAUCUAAAGCUAAAUAUUGGCGAGAGACCGAUAGCGAACAAGUACCGUGAGGGAAAGAUGAAAAGAACUUUGAAAAGAGAGUUAAACAGUACGUGAAAUUGUCAAAAGGGAAGCGUUUGACACCAGUGUUGUUUUUUCUGAGAAAUCAAUUAAAGAACUGUUUAUGCUAAGCUGUUUAGACUUUAUCAGCUAUCUGUUUAGUUUUGAGCUUUUCUUUAAUGCACUUUUCAGUUAACAAGUCAACAUCAAUUUCUUUUGCUGUAAAAAAGCUUGAGGAAGGUGGCUUGAGAUUCGUCUUAAGUGUUUAUAGCCUCUUGCCUAUGCAGUCGGAGAGAUUGAGGUCUGCAGCGUAGAUCCUUCGGGGCUAAAUGCAUUUGUGCUAAGUUAUAGCAUUUUAUAGACAACUUGUUGACUAUGAUUUGUCUUGUAGCUUACUCGCUUAUGUUAUUUUACCUACGCUUAGGAUGUUGACACACGCGCGUGCUCG